rnacentral:rRNA from 1 species
UACGAGUACCCCGAGCGUUAUCCGGAUUUAUUGGGCGUAAAGCGUACGUAGACGGUUUGUAACAUUUCUUGUUAAAUCCCAAGGCUCAACCUUGGGGCCGCAGGAAAUAUGGAUAAACUAGAGACUGGAAGAGGCAAGCGGAAUUGCUGGUGUAGGGGUUAAAUCCGUUAAUAUCAGCAGGAACACCAAAAGCGAAGGCAGCUUGCUAGGACAGUUCUGACGUUCAGGUACGAAAGCGUGGGGAGCGAAUGGG